AUAAUAGAAGUACAUUACACUCGGUUUCGACCUGAGCAUAUGGCUUGAAGCCCUAUUAUA
rnacentral:tRNA from 1 species